GCUAAGACUGGAUAGGAAAUAAAAAGGCAUCUUUUUAUUUUUAAAAGACCUUUUUCGGAAGGUNUGCUUAAAGAGGGGCUUGCGUCACAUUAGUUAGUUGGCAGGGUAAAGGCCUACCAAGACUAUGAUGUGUAGCUGGACUGAGAGGUUGAACAGCCACAUUGGGACUGAGACACGGCCCAAACUCCUACGGGAGGCAGCAGUAGGGAAUUUUCGGCAAUGGAGGAAACUCUGACCGAGCAACGCCGCGUGAACGAUGAAGUAUUUCGGUAUGUAAAGUUCUUUUAUUGAAGAAGAAAAAAUAGUGGAAAAACUAUCUUGACGAUAUUCAAUGAAUAAGCCCCGGCAAACUAUGUGCCAGCAGCCGCGGUAAUACAUAGGGGGCGAGCGUUAUCCGGAAUUAUUGGGCGUAAAGGGUGCGUAGGCGGUUUAAUAAGUCUAUAGUUUAAUUUCAGUGCUUAACACUGUCCUGCUAUAGAAACUAUUAGACUAGAGUGAGAUAGAGGCAAGUGGAAUUCCAUGUGUAGCGGUAAAAUGCGUAAAUAUAUGGAGGAACACCAGAGGCGUAGGCGGCUUGCUGGGUCUUUACUGACGCUGAGGCACGAAAGCGUGGGGAGCAAACAGGAUUAGAUACCCUGGUAGUCCACGCCGUAAACGAUGAGUACUAAGUGUCGGGAUUACUCGGUACUGAAGUUAACACAUUAAGUACUCCGCCUGAGUAGUACGUACGCAAGUAUGAAACUUAAAGGAAUUGACGGGACUCCGCACAAGCGGUGGAUCAUGUUGUUUAAUUCGAAGAUACACGAAAAACCUUACCAGGUCUUGACAUACUCUGCAAAGCUAUAGCAAUAUAGUGGAGGUUAUCAGGAUACAGGUGGUGCAUGGUUGUCGUCAGCUCGUGUCGUGAGAUGUUAGGUUAAGUCCUAAAACGAGCGCAACCCUUGUCAUUAGUUGCCAGCAUGUCAUGAUGGGCACUUUAAUGAGA
rnacentral:rRNA from 1 species